AAAAUAUUGCAAGGCCAAUAUUUAGGUUUCCCGCCAUCCCAUCAGAUUGCCUACCAAAGCCUAGAUAUUUACAUUGAUUCCUCCUCUCGCUAUGUUUUAGCAAGAAAUACUCGCAUAACAACAUCCGUGGGCCUUGUGCAGUGGUGGCCGUCUCAGGAGCACGUCUCACACCGUCUCUGCGAUAGAUAAUAACAAAAAAGGAAUGUCGACGUCACGGCUAUUCUGGAGUCGAUUUCUAGCACCAACCGUUCAAAAACAGUGGCCAGCUCUUGCUGGAGGACGAUGGAAAAGAAUGGCACGGAUCGGUAAUCUUAGCGCUCCGCUUCGCCUCUAUUCUGCCGGCAAUAUGCACCGGUUCGAUAAGAGCGUUAUCGCCCCCGAACAACUGGCCACUUACGACGAGAUCGUACAGUUAUCGAAGCAAACGGAAGCGGACGCACCACUGCUGAUCGACGUCCGGGAACCGGCGGAACUGGAGGCGACGGGACGUAUACCGACCAGCAUCAACAUACCGGUAAACCAGGUGAAAACGGAGCUCGAGCUGCCGGCGGCAGCCUUCGAAACGAAAUACGGUCGCCGCAAACCCUCCCCCACGGAUCCGAUUAUUUUCUGUUGCCGGAUCGGUGUACGGUCCGGUAACGCAGCGCACGAAGCGGAGCAGAUGGGAUUCAAACGCGUUAAAAACUACGUCGGAUCGUGGUUGGAGUACGCCGAAAAACAAGGUUUAUCCAGCUAGGAUUACUCGCGGGUUAUCCGGGAAGUGCGAAUAAAGGAUCUCCGGUGCACUCACUAUUCCAAAAGUUGUGGUGUACUAAUUCAUUUCCAUGAAAACGCGUUAGUUGAUGGAAGGGUGGGUAGGAUUCUCACGCACUCAUGAUGACGUAGAAGGUGGAAGACUGGAGGGCUCAUUACGCACCUGUGUUGAUUAUCGCGCGCGCGUAGCAUCAGGCGGUGUGUUUCAGUCGCUCCGAGUUUCGACGAUCAUUUCGUUGCUGGCAUUCGGCGUAGACAUCAUUCCAGCUGAUUACCACUGGUCUCAGCAGGUUCUAGCAGCCGGCACGUUGCUACGGAUUGCGAUGCUAAUAGCAAGUUUGCACCGGGUUGUAUCGAACCGCGGCUCGUUGCUACGCUCGCCGAGGUAGAGGAUCUACCGAAUCAUCCCGAG